rnacentral:tRNA from 2 species
AGGCCAGUAGCUCAAUUUGGUAGAGCAACGGUCUCCAAAACCGUAGGUUGCGGGUUCGAGUCCUGCCUGGCCUGCCU